rnacentral:rRNA from 1 species
UACGUAGGGGGCUAGCGUUAUCCGGAAUUACUGGGCGUAAAGGGUGCGUAGGUGGUUUCUUAAGUCAGAGGUGAAAGGCUACGGCUCAACCGUAGUAAGCCUUUGAAACUGGGGAACUUGAGUGCAGGAGAGGAGAGUGGAAUUCCUAGUGUAGCGGUGAAAUGCGUAGAUAUUAGGAGGAACACCAGUUGCGAAGGCGGCUCUCUGGACUGUAACUGACACUGAGACACGAAAGCGUGGGGAGCAAGCAGG